rnacentral:rRNA from 1 species
UACAGGGGGUGCAAACGUUGCUCGGAAUCAUUGGGCGUAAAGCGCACGUAGGCGGUCUGUUAUGUCGGAUGUGAAAGCCCUUGGCUCAACUGAGGAAGUGCAUCCGAAACUGGCAGGCUAGAGUACUAAAGAGGAUCGCGGAAUUCCCGGUGUAGAGGUGAAAUUCGUAGAUAUCGGGAGGAACACCAGUGGCGAAGGCGACUACCUGGCCUGUUUCUUGACGCUGAGGCGCGAAAGCUAGGGGAGCAAACGGG